UACGGGGGGAGCAAGCGUUGUUCGGAUUUACUGGGCGUAAAGGGCGCGUAGGCGGCCACCGCAAGUCGACUGUGAAAUCUCCGGGCUUAACCCGGAAAGGUCAGCCGAUACUGCGGGGCUAGAGUGCAGAAGGGGCAACUGGAAUUCCAGGUGUAGCGGUGAAAUGCGUAGAUAUCUGGAGGAACACCGGUGGCGAAGGCGGCGUCCUGGACCAACACUGACACUGAUGAGCGAAAGCCAGGGGAGCAAACGGG
rnacentral:rRNA from 1 species